UUGAAUUUUAAUGAAGAGUUUGGUUGUAGCUGGCCCAUUCAUUUGGGCAUGUGCACACCUUCCUCUUUCAUCCCACACACACCUGUGAACCUGUGAGACAGAGAUGGGGAAUUUACUUGCUGCUUUUUGGAAUACAAAGGCAAUUAGGUUAUUGGACCCCCCCUCUGUCUACUCAAUUAAUAUAAACUCAAUUUAUUUUAAAACGAAUGUAAUGGAUGUAACACAUCUCAUAC
rnacentral:misc_RNA from 1 species